UAUCAAAUGUAGUAGUCAAUUUCGAUCCGAAAGAUUUCUCAGAAAACGCAUAUGUCCUAAUCAUGAAGUUCUAAAUGCAUAUAAUGAAAAUAUCAACUAUCCAAUAGAAGUAUUCAGAGAAGUAAUAAUUAACUCGAAUCCCACCGAGCAAUAUGGUAUUUGCAUUUCUCAUAUACAAAUUUAUUGAAGCAGGAUAUUUGCUUAAAAAUAUCACAGUUUUAGCUUUACAAUGUCAAAUCUACAUUCUGUAUAAGCUGUUCCCUUUUCCAAUAUUUAUGACGACAUAUGACAUAUUGGAAAGAGUUUUAUAUAUGAAUUCGGAUGGAGAAGAUACGGAAAGUGAUGAUAACAAAAGUGAAGGAGACUAAUGUGAAUACACAAAUAUAACAAAUAAUUAUUGCCAUUGUGGAAUAAAUUUGAAAUGUCAGUAAAUAUUGAUGGAUAUGGAUAGAAAUAAUUAUUUCAUUUAAUAAAGUAAUAUAUAUUUC